rnacentral:misc_RNA from 1 species
AACCAUAGAAACCUGCGGAGUACCUGCGGCAGGAUCAUUACAGAGUUGCAAAACUCCCUAAACCAUUGUGAACGUUACCUAAACCGUUGCUUCGGCGGGCGGCCCGGGUCCUUCCCGGCGCCCCUCGGCCCUCGCGGGCGCCCGCCGGAGGUAAACCAAACUAUUGCAUUGUAUGGCCUCUCUGAGUCUUCUGUACUGAAUAAGUCAAAACUUUCAACAACGGAUCUCAGAUCGGAAGAG